rnacentral:rRNA from 1 species
GACGAACGCUGGCGGCGUGCCUAAUACAUGCAAGUAGGACGCAGUUGCGAACGGGGGAGUCACGCGUAGGUACCUGCCUGUGAGAGGGGGAUAACUAUUGGCAACUAUAGCUAAUACCGCAUACUAGUUGAUGGACCUGCUGUGUAUUAGCUAGUAGGUUGGGUAAUGGCCUACCUAGGCGACCAUACAUAGCCGACCUGAGAGGGUGAUAGGCCACACUGGGACUGAGACACGGCCCAGAGUCCGACGGGAGGCAGCAGUAGGGAAGCUUCGGCAAUGGGGGGAAUCCUGACCGAGCAACGCCGCGGGAGUGAAGAAGGUUUUCGGAUCGUAAAGCUCUGUUGUUAAGGAAGCGGUACUUAACCAGAAAGGGACGGCUAACUACGUGCCAGCAGCCGCGGUAAUAC